GCCAGGAAUCUUGCGCAAUGGGCGAAAGCCUGACGCAGCAACGCCGCGUGGGCGAUGAAGGCCUUCGGGUCGUAAAGCCCUGUUGUCGGGGACGAAGGGCGAAGGGUUAAUAGCCCCUAGCCUGACGGUACCCGACGAGGAAGCCCCGGCUAACUACGUGCCAGCAGCCGCGGUAAUACGUAGGGGGCGAGCGUUGUCCGGAAUCACUGGGCGUAAAGAGCGUGUAGGCGGCCCGGUAAGUCUGCUGUGAAAACCCGGGGCUCAACCCCGGGCGUGCAGUGGAAACUGCCGGGCUAGAGGGCGGCAGAGGCGAGUGGAAUUCCCGGUGUAGCGGUGAAAUGCGCAGAUAUCGGGAGGAACACCAGUAGCGAAGGCGGCUCGCUGGGCCGUCCCUGACGCUGAGACGCGAAAGCUAGGGGAGCGA
rnacentral:rRNA from 1 species